AUAGAAAUGUGAACACAAGGACGACCAAGGGUAGUUUGGUAAUUUUACGCUGACAUCCAAUUUCUAGAACCGUCUGCAUUCUUCUCCAGCAUUCCAAGCAAAAAAAAAAAAAACGCAACAUCUCACAAUUUCAUACCAUUGUUUCAAUUCUCUUCAUCUUCUUACACUUUUUACCCUAAAUACUUCUUCAAGCUCAACCUAAUAUCCAUCUUCCUUAUACCUUUUCGUUCUCUUUGUUGCUCAAAUUGGGUAUCCGUCUUUACUAUCAAUUUGUAAGCUAAAGUAGGUUGCAUAACUAUUGAUGAUAAUACACUACAACUCUUUUUACAUAUGUGUCAGCAUAUAUAUAUACACACACUUGAUGCAUAGGCCUUUCCAAGGUGCUUGGUUUUAAAGAUUCAAUUUAUCUUUUUGAAAACCUUUUAUUAGUUGAUUUUUAUAUUCUUUCAGGUAUAAGUAACAGGAAUUGCAUUAGAAUAAUGAUUCAAUAGAUCAAGAUGUCACCUACAACUCCAAGAGUAACUUCAAAGUCGGGGAAGGGAAGGUGAAUUUGACUAGACAUUUAUGUUGUUCAAAUUUCACACCACCAUUCAUGUCGGUAAUUGAUUCGGUUGUGCAGGUACGAGUGCUGGGAUAGGACAAAUAAAUCAAAAUACAAAUUCCAGGAUUACUGUUUCACAGGCUACUUGUUCUUGACGGAAGGUGCAUUUCAGUUUCUGUGAAACAAGUCCAGUGUUUCCCAUGCCGCCUCCGUGUUUUAUUAUAAUUCAGAUCUGCAAAGGUGAUGAUUAAUGAGAAGCCAAAAAAGUGCAAAUGAAAUCUGAAGUCAAGUGUAAAAGGUGGUCACUCAUGAGAAAUUCAAGAAGAUGAGGGAGAGCUCAAAAGAAGGAAUAAAAAAUUUGGUUCAAUAUAUAUGUUGUGACAAAGUCCAUUGAGACCUAUUUCAGGUUGCAUAUCUGAAUAGUCAUCUUGAGGGAGAUCUUAAAGAGGCUGAUGAGCUAUUCCUAUCUAGAUCAAGAGGUGGAAGGGAGGAUGAGUCUGCUCUUUUCGAGUCAAUUAUGCAGAAAAGAAUUAUACCACCUAUUAGUGCAGAUCUCGUGCUCAAUCAGGCGCCCGAAUAUCUCUUGUGGUUACUCUCAGUGAAAUCAAAUUAUCAACUGUAACUUGUACCAACGGAGAUGUACAUCUUUAUCAGGUAAGUGCUUUUUUCACUGUUGUUGCCUUCUUUGGGAGCUAUUGGUUUGAGUUACAUGGCAUUCACUAUGUCGAUAAAAAAUAACUUUGGGGAAUAGAUGAUCACUGUUGUUGCCUUCUUAGGGGAUAUUGGUUUGAGUUAAAUGGCAUUCAACAUGUUAAUUAAAAAAAAAACCUUCAGAAAAUAGAUGAUCCAUUUGGCACUCUGGAUGAAGUUCUACAAACUUGUAAGCGGACUGAGCAUCUCUGCAACUGUUGGUCUGGCUGAUCAUGCUGUUAGCAUUUGAUCAAGUAAAGUUCGAAUAUGACAGAUGAAAUAAGUUGAUGUACGAACUGCAUGUCUUCAUUUUCCUUUCCUCUGAGCUAAAAAACCAUAUCAUACGUAUAGAAUUCUUUUGGGGGUACAUUCAGAUUUGUUGGAGCACCUUAGACAUGAUGUAAGAUUUGUUAAUAUAAAUUAUUUUAAUGGUACAUGUCAGAUAAUUCAAUCUCA